UAUUCCGUGUAAUUUCCGCGUACUUUUUACACCGUGACACGGCAUACUGCACUGUGCCACGGUGAACAAUGCCGUGCACUACUGCAAAGUUGGCCUAAUGUAACACCUUGUAGUAACACUUUAUAAGUCAAGAUAUAAAUAGAUAUUUAAGUAACACUUUUGUAACACUUAGAUAGUAGGUAGCACUUGUAUGUAACACAUAUGUAAUAUGUAACACUUCAAAGUAACACUUUACAUAGAGUAACACUUUCAUGUAACACUUUGAGUAUGAAAAGCAGUUAUACAAAAAAAAAAAAAAAAAAAAAAAAAAAAAACCUUGCCUAACUCUGCUUUCACUUUUUCUCCAAGCUCUCUAUCUUUCUGUCUCUCUUCCUUCUCUCUUUCACUUUUCCCACUUUUCUCCAUCCAUUUAUGCUAUUCACACUUUCCAUCUCCUUAAUCAAUGGAGAAGCUCAAAAGUCUCUCUGAAAUUUUACCCCAAUCUUUAGAUUCUUACUCCUCACCAAACUCUAACUUCUUAACAAGAAUUGAACGACCAAAUCCAAACCCUAGUAUCCGACUCAAUCGAUCCAUCAAACCGCAAAAUGACCGAUGAUACGGCUAACGGGAUCAAUUCGGCGGCGAAGAAGAGACGGCGAGCCGUAGAAAUCGCCGUCUUCGUAUAAUGGAGUUGCUACUGCCGGAAAUCCCUCCCUCUCUUUUCAAUUUUUCGCUCAACAGAUCCCUAAAUUUCAUUCUCACUCUUCAAUUUCCAUUAUGGAGCUGGUGUUGCCGGUUAGAUUUCCUCUCCUGUUCUAAUUAUAUUUCGUUUGAAAUUUGAUAAUUUUUGGAGUAUUUGAUUUAUUGUUCUGUGAUUCACAUUUUUGAAAUUAACCUGAUUUGUAAUGUGUGUGCAUAUUUUCAUUAUUAAAUUUUGUUCGUGCUCUGAAUUCUUACAUUGCGUAGCUCAAUUGAGCUUGAAACUGUUUUUUUUUUUUUUUUUUUUAAUUUAUAGAAUUUUGAGUGUUGUAGAUGAAAUUGUUUAAGAAUGUUAAAUAUUUGGAAUUUGAGUGAUGCAUUCUUUAUAUUAUCAUAAUACUAUUACAAAAUGAUGUGACGAUGCUGUGAAAUAUUGAUUGAAUUUGGUUUCGAAAAUGUUAAAAGGCAGAUUAUAUAUAUAUAUGACAUUAUGACUACUGUUUUUGGGGAAAGAUGACUAGAUGGAAUAAGAAGGAGCUAUUUUGUAUCAUUUGCUUGUUUUAUGAGACAAACUGAAGAAGCAGCUUGCUGCUUUUCGUGUCCUAUUAAUGGAUAAUUAUUCUUCUAGUGAAGAACCAAUCAUUAAGAUGCUUUUAUAUUGCUUCUCCUAUUUCUAAAUUUGCUUACUUUUAUUUACAAGGUAAAGUCAUUUUACACUUAUUUAAGAGCUCGAUUUUUGUUCAAAGUGUAUUGUAGUAAUUAUUUUGAGAUUAUAGUAUAGAAUUUAACGCUUUAUUAAUAUUGUCAAUGGUAACUUUGGCAAUGAUGUAUCUGUGCAAGAUACCUUAUGUUUAGUACUACUUUAUAUUUCAUUUAUGCAUUAUUUAAUGGAUUAUGAAGAACUUAUGUAUUCUAUAGAGUGUGUUAUAUUGGUCAUCAAAUUUGCAUAUGCUUGUGCAUAAAUGUUCUAAGAAAGCACUAGCAACAGAUUUGUUAAAUUAAUUAGAAUCUAAAAUGUCCUGCCUGCUACUGUUGAACAUAGCAAUAUUUAUUCAAAUUUUGUAGAUUUUAUAAUUUUUUUUGAAGCCAUGAUUUAUGUAAUUUAAUUGUUGCAUGUGUAAGCUUGUAUUGAUUCUAUACAGAAACUGAUUUAGGAUAAAUGGUUGUUGAAUGUUGGUUGUGAGGUGUAUGUUGGCUGCUGGAUCAAUGUUGUGUCUAACCGGUCUAGAAUUUAUUAUUUCAAGUUAACAUAUGGGUUUCUGAACUCUGAAGUUUUAUGGGCUUUCCCAGUCUGGCUUGGUUUCAAUUGUUUUUUAACUGGUGGCAAUGCUUAGAGAAGCCUCCCACUAUUGAGAUAUUCUUCUUGGAAUAUACACUAGUAUAUUCUCUUGAUUAUUCUUACUCCACUCACCUCUAUCUCUGACAUUCUUUCUUGAAUGAUUAUCUAAGCUCUUCAUUAAUGGAAUUUAAGCACUCCAACAGCAGGUGCUCGCAAAAGAGUGGCUUGAAGUAUGAUCUCGAUCAAUGCUUGUCACGUGGUUCUUGAACUGGAGUCUCUUCCUUUUGGAUUAGUUUUUGGGUUAUAUAUCCAUUGAUCAAUUCAAAAAUUAUAAUCUUGCUAGAGCAUAUUCGAAUUCAUCUUGUCUCUUAUAUCUGUAUUAUAUCAGCAAUAAAAUUUGUUCAUAAUUCGAGUAAAUGACUUGGUAAAGGUGUUAUGUUUGAUACUUUUUCACCCUUUAAUUAAUUGGUCUUCAAACUUAAUUUCCUUUUUUUUGGCAGGACAUAACAACCCUAUAUCUAUUACUCUUUGUCCAACCUACUAACAAAACAUUUGAAGUUAUAAAGGAUGUGACUCCAAUCCCAACAGCCAGUACUUGCAAAAAGGGAAGCAUCGAAGGAAGGAGUUGAGGAGAUUGUGAAUGAUCAUGGCCUAGUUCAGCAUUGCUGCUACUUAUGUUGCUCUUUACUUCUACCUAGCCUUAAGCAUUGUAAAAAAAUUUAAUAUUUUUUGUUUGAUGAAAUUGUAACAGUACACCACAAGCAUUUAUUAAUAAAAAUACCUAAGUUUAUGGAUU